GAUGAACGCUGGCGGCGUGCCUAAUACAUGCAAGUAGAACGCUGAAGGAAGGAGCUUGCUCUUUCCGGAUCAGUUGCGAACAGGUGAGUAACACGUAGAUAACAUGCGUGGUAGCGGGGGGUAACUCAUGGAAACGAGAGCGAUUACAGCAUAACAGUACAUAUUGCAUGAUAUCUGCUUAAAAGGUGCAAUUGUACCACUAUCAGAUGGACCUGCGUUAGAUUAGCUAGUUGGUGAGGUAACGGCCCACCAAGGCGACGAUACAUAGCCGGUCUGAGAGGGUGAUCGGCCACACUGGGACUGAGACACGGCCCAGACUCCUACGGGAGGCAGCAGUAGGGAAUCUUCGGCAAUGGACGGAAGUCUGACCGAGCAACGCCGCGUGAGUGAAGAAGGGUUUCGGGUCGUAAAGCUCUGUUGUUCGGGAAGAAAGGGCUUGAGGCGGAAAAGUUCACGCUGUGACGGUAUCUUACCAGAAAGCGACGGCUAACUACGUG
rnacentral:rRNA from 1 species